rnacentral:rRNA from 1 species
UACAGAGGGGGCAAGCGUUGUUCGGAAUUACUGGGCGUAAAGGGCGCGUAGGCGGCCGCCUAAGUCAGACGUGAAAUCCCCAGGCUCAACUUGGGAACUGCGUCUGAUACUGGAUGGCUUGAAUUCGGGAGAGGGAUGCAGAAUUCCAGGUGUAGCGGUGAAAUGCGUAGAUAUCUGGAGGAAUACCGGUGGCGAAGGCGGCAUCCUGGACCGAGAUUGACACUGAUGAGCGAAAGCUAGGGGAGCAAACGGG